GAUGAACGCUGGCGGCGUGCCUAAUACAUGCAAGUCGAGCGAAUGGAUUAAGAGCUUGCUCUUAUGAAGUUAGCGGCGGACGGGUGAGUAACACGUGGGAACCUGCCCAUAAGACUGGGAUAACUCCGGGAAACCGGGGCUAAUACCGGAUAACAUUUUGAACCGCAUGGUUCGAAAUUGAAAGGCGGCUUCGGCUGUCACUUAUGGAUGGACCCGCGUCGCAUUAGCUAGUUGGUGAGGUAACGGCUCACCAAGGCAACGAUGCGUAGCCGACCUGGGGGGGUGCCCGGCCACACUGGGACGGAGACACGGCCCAGACUCCUACGGGGGGCAGCAGUAGGGAAUCUGCCGCAAUGGACGAAAGUCUGACGGAGCAAUGCCGCGGGAGUGAUGAAGGCUUUCGGGUCGUAAAACUCUGUUGUUAGGGAAGAACAAGUGCUAGUUGAAUAAGCUGGCACCUUGACGGUACCUAACCAGAAAGCCACGGCUAACUACGUGCCAGCCGCCGCAGUAA
rnacentral:rRNA from 1 species